rnacentral:rRNA from 1 species
GGCCUUUUGAUAAUAAUUUAAGGUCGGGCCUGCCCAAUGAUAAAUUUAAUGGCCGCGGUAUAUUAACUGUGCAAAGGUAGCAUAAUCAUUAGUUUUUUAAUUGGAAGCUGGAAUGAAGGGUUUAAUGAAAAAAGUUCUGUCUUAUUUAAGUUUAUUAGAAAUUUAUUUUUAAGUUAAAAAGCUUAAAUAGUUAUUAAAGACGAGAAGACCCUAUAGAGUUUUAUACCCAAAAGAUAUAUUUUAUUUAGAAUUUUAAAGUUAUAUUUUAAUGGUAUUUUGUUGGGGUGAUAAAAAAAUUUAAUAAACUUUUUUUUAAAAAAAACAUUAAUUUAUGAGUUAUUGAUCCUUUAUUAUAAAGAUUAAAAGAUAAAAUUACCUUAGGGAUAACAGCGUAAUUUUUUUUAGAGUUCUUAUCGAAAAGAAAGAUUGCGACCUCGAUGUUGGAUUAAAAUAAAUUUUUGGCGCAAAAGCUAAGGAGAUUAGGUCUGUUCGACCUUUAAAUUUUUACAUGAUCUGAGUUUAGACCGGUUUGAG